GUGGAUGAACUGGAGACCACACACAGAAACGGAUUUAUGUGCACGGGAGCAUCACAGGAAGUCUUGCUAUGUAGUUUAGGCUGGCCUUGAACUCAGUGAUCCUCCUGCCUCAGCCUCUCCAGUGCUGCUGGGAUUACAGGUGUGCGCCACACUGCUGGCCAGGAUUCUGCCAUUUCACUGCUGUUGGAGGGCAUUCUGAAAUCAGUCGUGGAAUGGAUGAUUCAGGAUACCUGGCGAAGGAGGAAAUCUUCCAUGUGCACACCUGAAACAGCGCCGACUGCAAACUACUGGUAGGAUGACGACUGAUCCAUUGCGUGGUCAUUGCAUGGAGACCCCAUGGAAAGAAUGACAGACAUCGAUUGAGGGCUCUCUGGGAACCUAGGACAUGUGAAGAGUGACGCCUAUAGAAACUGAGUCAAAAGAAUUAUCAAGGCUGGAAUCAUGCUCUUCCC